UGUGGCAAUCCGUGUGUUGGGUCUGGAUGCACGCCCAUUGGCUGAGAAAAUCGUGCCAGGACUGCUGCCGGCUUUCCUCUCCUUUACCUUUUCGGUACUCUCGUCUCUCAUUAUCUCUUCCUUCCCUCUCUCCUUAUCUUUUCUCUCAGCCACUCCUCUCUACUCUGUCUCGGCAUUUGGAUCAGCAGUACUAGCAAUGGCGAUGGUGUUGAGCAGGCUCCGGAUCUGCAGCGCCGGGGGCGGGGCCAGCCUAGUGACGUCGUCGUCCCGCUCCGGCUGGCUGCCGUUCUGCACCAAUGCCACCACCUCUGGCUGCCGAGGGGCUGCUCAGCCAGCCCCACCCGCCACUUCGACGGCUCCUCCCAUAUAGGGAUCUUGGUGACGGAGCUGGUGCUGGGCCUUGGCAACUUGAUGGCUCUCGUCGGCAUCUACGACCUACGCCGGCGGCAGCGCGUGGUGGCAGGGUGGGCACUGGAGUGCGCUGAUGGCCAGAUCUCGGUACUGUCGCCUGGUCAACUACUGGCGCGGCCGUCGCAGCUGCUGCACUGCCUCACGAGCCGCCGGGCGCCGGCAGCCGGGACGACAGCACUGAGCGGCCUCGCCGGAUUUUUUUUAUUUUUUUAUUCGAUUUGUAAGGGCGGGCCAUCCCAUCGGCCGCCUCUACAAAACUACUUUUAAAGGCGGGUAAAGUGUCAUCCAUCUCUAAAAAUAAAUUUUAGAGGCAGAUGACGCCUCUAACCGCCUCUAAAAAUAGGUUUGCAAGGUGGAUAAGGGCAUUAUCUGUCCCUAAAAGUGAAUUUUUAGAGGCGGGCAUGUUAUCCGCCCCUAUAAAUACGAUUUUUAACUGCGAAAACUAAGGGGCGGGUCUGGAAUCCGCCCCUAAAAAUGGGCAUUUUAAUCACCCGACAAAUGAUUUAUGCAGUAGUGGUGUGUAGUAUAGGGGUUAUAAUGUGGUGCAUGUAUUAGGGCUAAUGUGCAUGCCUGUGCAUUUGAGCAUCUGCAUUUGUACAGUUUUUUUACAAAAGAAAAAGGAAAGAGAAAAAAGGCAGCUAAUGAGUGCAAGGAUGCUUGUCUGUGCCGAGCAAAUAUGUUUUUGUUAGCAUUCAAAGAUGCUUCCUCGUAGCAUAUUCAACAUUUGUCAGUAUGAAUAG